rnacentral:misc_RNA from 1 species
AACUUUCUACAACGGAUCACUUGGCUCUCGCAUCGAUGAAGAACGCAGCGAAAUGCGAUAAGUAAUGUGAAUUGCAGAUUUUCAGUGAAUCAUCGAAUCUUUGAACGCACCUUGCGCCCCUUGGUAUUCCGAGGGGCAUGCCUGUUUGAGUGUCAUUGAAAUAUCAACCUUGGGUGGAUUUGCUUCCUCUCCGAUGGUUGGACUUUGGAGAGUGCUGGCGUCAGGUCGGCUCCUCUUAAAUGCAUCAGCGGAAAACUUUUGACCUCUGGACGUCAGCGUGAUAAUCACGUUGCGCUGUCGACCGAGGUGUCAUCAUAAGGACCCGCUUCUAAUGGUCUUCGGACAGGACAUCAAAUUUGACCUCAAAUCAGGUAGGACUACCCGCUGAACUUAAGCAUAUCAAUAAGCGGAGGCU